rnacentral:rRNA from 1 species
AUUGAACGCUGGCGGCAGGCCUAACACAUGCAAGUCGAGCGAGCGGCGGACGGGUGAGUAAUGUAUGGGGAUCUGCCCGAUAGAGGGGGAUAACUACUGGAAACGGUGGCUAAUACCGCAAAAUAUUGGAUGAACCAAUAUGGGAUGAGCUAGUAGGUGGGGUAAAGGCUCACCUAGGAGACGAUCUCUAGCUGGUCUGAGAGGAUGAUCAGCAAAACUUGGACUGAGACACGGCCCAGAAUCCUACGGGAGGCAGCAGUGGGGAAGAUUGCACAGUGGGCGCAAGCCGGAUGCAGCCAUGCCGCGUGUAUGAAGAAGGCCUUAGGGUUGUAAAGUACUUUCAGCGGAGAGGCGUUACCCACAGAGGAAGCACCGGCUAACUCCGUGCCAGCCGCCGCGGUAAUUC